rnacentral:rRNA from 1 species
GACAGAGGAUGCAAGUGUUAUCCGGAAUCACUGGGCGUAAAGCGUCUGUAGGUGGUCAAAUAAGUCAACUGUUAAAUCUUGAGGCUCAACCUCAAAAUCGCAGUCGAAACUAUUCGACUAGAGUAUAGUAGGGGUAAAGGGAAUUUCCAGUGGAGCGGUGAAAUGCGUAGAGAUUGGAAAGAACACCGAUGGCGAAGGCACUUUACUGGGCUAUUACUAACACUGAGAGACGAAAGCUAGGGUAGCAAAUGGG